GACGAACGCUGGCGGCGUGCUUAACACAUGCAAGUCGAACGGAAAGGCCCUGCUUUUGUGGGGUGCUCGAGUGGCGAACGGGUGGGUAACACGUGAGUAACCUGCCCUUGACUUUGGGAUAACUUCAGGAAACUGGGGCUAAUACCGGAUAGGAGCUCCUGCUGCAUGGUGGGGGUUGGAAAGGUUCGGCGGUUGGGGAUGGACUCGCGGCUUAUCAGCUUGUUGGUGGGGUAGUGGCUUACCAAGGCUUUGACGGGUAGCCGGCCUGAGAGGGUGACCGGCCACAUUGGGACUGAGAUACGGCCCAGACUCCUACGGGAGGCAGCAGUGGGGAAUAUUGCACAAUGGGCGGAAGCCUGAUGCAGCAACGCCGCGUGCGGGAUGACGGCCUUCGGGUUGUAAACCGCUUUCGCCUGUGACGAAGCGUGAGUGACGGUAAUGGGUAAAGAAGCACCGGCUAACUACGUG
rnacentral:rRNA from 1 species